rnacentral:rRNA from 1 species
GACGUAGGGCGCGAGCGUUGUCCGGAUUUAUUGGGCGUAAAGAGCUCGUAGGCGGUGUGUCGCGUCGGCCGUGAAAACCUGCAGCUUAACUGUGGGCGUGCGGUCGAUACGGGCAUCACUGGAGUUCGGCAGGGGAGACUGGAAUUCCUGGUGUAGCGGUGAAAUGCGCAGAUAUCAGGAGGAACACCAGUGGCGAAGGCGGCUUCCUGGCCUGUUCUUGACGGCUGGAGGCGCGAAAGCCAGGGGAGCAAACGGG